UACAGAGGGGGCAAGCGUUGUUCGGAAUUACUGGGCGUAAAGGGCGCGUAGGCGGCCUGCUAAGUCGAUCGUGAAAUCCCCGGGCUCAACCCGGGAACUGCGACCGAUACUGGUUGGCUUGAAUCCGGGAGAGGGAUGCGGAAUUCCAGGUGUAGCGGUGAAAUGCGUAGAUAUCUGGAGGAACACCGGUGGCGAAGGCGGCAUCCUGGACCGGCAUUGACGCUGAGGCGCGAAAGCCAGGGGAGCAAACGGG
rnacentral:rRNA from 1 species